UGGGUUAGUCCGCACGAGCGCACCCUGUCCUUUUUUGCCAGCACAUAAUGGUGGGGACUCUAAGGAGACUGCCUGGGAUAACCAGGAGGAAGGUGGGGAUGAUGUCAAGUCAGUAUGUCCCUUAUGUCCAGGGCUACACACGUGUUACAAUGGCCGGUACAGAGGGCGGCGAAGCCGCGAGGUGGAGCGAAUCUCAGAAAACCGGUCGUAGUCCGGAUUGCAGUCUGCAACUCGACUGCAUGAAGCCGGAAUCGCUAGUAAUCGCGGAUCAGAACGCCGCGGUGAAUACGUUCCCGGGCCUUGUACACACCGCCCGUCACACCAUGGGAGUGGGCUGUACCAGAAGUAGGUAGUCUAACCUUCGGGAGGACGCUUACCACGGUGUGGUUCAUGACUGGGGUGAAGUCGUAACAAGGUAGCCCUAGGGGAACCUGGGGCUGGAUCACCUCCUUU
rnacentral:rRNA from 1 species